CACCUGUUGUCCGAACAUAAGACAAAAGCAGUGUACGCACAGAACUUGCUAAUGCACGGUGAAAAUAAAUUAUGUUCCUGCUGAUGCCUUUGUCAAGAUGGUACUUACUACAUAGUCCUUGAGAACAAAUUGACCAAGCCAAAUCCUAUAUGAAAUAGUAUGAAAGAGAAACAAUUGGAAAUAUUAGCACCCAACUAAAUUGGAGUACUAGUUAAUUAGCAAGAGAAACCUGUACGCGCGCCGAUUUACAGUUUGGAGGAGAUGGCACCGUGCGGAGAGCUGGCGGGGAACGGUGCCGGAGAUGGAGAGAGCGAUGGCCAACAAGCCACGAACGGACUGGUGUAGAGGAGGCUGUGCAGAGGGUCGGAGCAGGCGGUAGACGGCGCAUGACGGCGACGAUGUGAAGGAGCACAUGUCAGAUCUGAAAGGACGGAGGAGUGAGAGGCGGAGGCUAUGGUAGAGGCGGCGGUCGGAUGGGGGCGAGGCGGAN
rnacentral:lncRNA from 1 species